UAAUCCUACGGGAGGCAGCAGUGAGGAAUAUUGGUCAAUGGGCGCGAGCCUGAACCAGCCAAGUAGCGUGAAGGAUGACUGCCCUACGGGUUGUAAACUUCUUUUAUAAAGGAAUAAAGUGAGGCACGUGUGCCUUUUUGUAUGUACUUUAUGAAAAAGCAUCGGCUAACUCCGUGCCAGCAGCCGCGGUAAUACGGAGGAUGCGAGCGUUAUCCGGAUUUAUUGGGUUUAAAGGGUGCGUAGGCGGAAUAUCAAGUCAGCGGUAAAAAUUCGGGGCUCAACCCCGUCGUGCCGUUGAAACUGAU
rnacentral:rRNA from 1 species